rnacentral:rRNA from 1 species
CUGACGCUGAGGCGCGAAAGCGUGGGGAGCGAACAGGAUUAGAUACCCUGGUAGUCCACGCCGUAAACGAUGAGUGCUAAGUGUUAGAGGGUUUCCGCCCUUUAGUGCUGCAGCAAACGCAUUAAGCACUCCGCCUGGGGAGUACGGCCGCAAGGCUGAAACUCAAAGGAAUUGACGGGGGCCCGCACAAGCGGUGGAGCAUGUGGUUUAAUUCGAAGCAACGCGAAGAACCUUACCAGGUCUUGACAUCCUCUGACAACCCUAGAGAUAGGGCGUUCCCCUUCGGGGGACAGAGUGACAGGUGGUGCAUGGUUGUCGUCAGCUCGUGUCGUGAGAUGUUGGGUUAAGUCCCGCAACGAGCGCAACCCUUGAUCUUAGUUGCCAGCAUUAAGUUGGGCACUCUAAGGUGACUGCCGGUGACAAACCGGAGGAAGGUGGGGAUGACGUCAAAUCAUCAUGCCCCUUAUGACCUGGGCUACACACGUGCUACAAUGGAUGGAACAAAGGGCAGCGAAGCCGUGAGGUGAAGCCAAUCCCAUAAAACCAUUCUCAGUUCGGAUUGCAGGCUGCAACCCGCCUGCAUGAAGCCGGAAUCGCUAGUAAUCGCGGGUCAGCAUACCGCGGUGAAUGUGUCCCUGAGCCUUGUACACACCGCCCGUCAAGCCACGAAAGUGGGGGGCGCCCAACAGCACUGUCGUAACCGCAAGGAACAAGGUGCCUAAGGCGAA